ACAGUUGUGUUUGAAUUUCUUCCAGGCUGUAUUUUGGAGGGAAAUCUUUCAACGAGCACAUCUUUCAGAGUCUGACGUAUGCAUUGAUUGCUGACCAUAUAGCGGUUAAGGGGCUCACAAAAGGCCAGGAGACCGUUGGUGAAUAUUCAAAAAGGGCAGACUUUGAUUCGGGGAGCCCUAAUAGCCACUUCAAACAGGAUCGGACAGCCUGGAGGAAGGUGGCAUUGGUGUUAAAGGACAGUAGACGCUGGACACAAAGGAGCCAUGUCACGUUUUAUUGUGGUGACCUCCAGCCCUGCGAUGAGGUGGCGACUUGUCCAGGGUGUACCCCGCCUUCCACCCGAUUGUAGCUGAGAUAGGCGCCAGUGCCCCCCGUAACCCCAAAAGGGAAUAAGCGGUAGAAAAUGGAUGGAUGGAUUUCAUUUUCAUUUUCUUUUCAUUCAUUUCAUGAAAAUGCAUAUGUACAAGCCAUUUACAGUUCAUACUUUCAUUGUUUUUAGUUUGAAGACAUGUCCAUGAUCAAAAAGGAGCGGAUGGAAGAAUAAUAUUAUUAUAUUCAUCUGCCCCCUUUUUUUAAACAAAUGAUUUUAUAUUAAUUCAUCACUGUUCCCUCCACCAACAUCCGAACUCCAACAUACUUUUUAAUUAAAAACAUCCAAUCAAAAUCAAAAAUCAGUUUGAUAUAAUUCCAGUUGUCUCUUUUUGCAACUCUUUUUAAAUUCAAAAAUAUUCUUGUAACUUUUUAAGUUACUUUUAUAGAAUUCCAUGCUUUCCCACCAACAACAAACAAGCACAUUUGAUUAAAAUGUGUUCGCACUCUUGGAUUUUUGAAGUCAUUCGGCCUUCUGUGAUUCUCAUCUUCAGACGUGAACACGAAUAACUUUUGUAAAUCCUUCGGAAUAACUUUAUUUCGAGCUUUGAACAUCACUAAUAGAGUAUGCAAUUUUACAAUGUCUUUCAGUUUUAAUAAUCCUGACCUAAUGAAGAGUGUAUUUGUGUGAUCUUUAUAUCCUACUUUAAACCUUAUACAAAUUGCUCUUUUCUGUAAAAGAAAUAAAGGCAUUAUGUUGCUGCGGUAUGUAUUUCCCCAUAUUUUUGUACAAUAUUUGAAAUAAAGUAGAAUAAUUGAGCAAGAUAACAAUGUCAUUGUAUUAUACAGGAAACAGUAUUUAACCUUGUAGAAGCCUUUAGGUACCUUAUUUUUCACAUGCAAUAUAUGAGCUUUCCAUGUCAACUUUUCCUUUUGGAUGACCCCAAUAAAUCUGAUUUCAGACACCUUCUCAAUUUUCACAUCAUUAACUUUAACGA